rnacentral:rRNA from 1 species
AUGUCAGUAAUGGCAGCUGAGGUGGCCCCUUCACGGCGACUAAUGGAGCUCUACCCGUUCCCCUUCUUAUCCCGGCAGGUUGCGAGGCUUCAUGAUCUAUACGUACAUGCAAAACUAGGUGCGGAGCAGCCGCUGCCACUAUCUCCACCUCCACCAUACCUCCUCCAUCCACCUUCCAUCUUGCCACUCCGCCGUCCGCGCCACACGAAUGAUAGCAGUGGCGGCGAUGAGCUCGAGGUUCCUGUCUGCCCUCCGUCCACACCCUCACAAGAACGCAGACCGGGGGCAACACACAGAUAUUUUCUCUGCGCGCGGUGCCAUGGCUGCACUCUCCGUUCAAGCGUCGUGGCCUUUCCCUCGGGAGUGCCACCACAAGGAACAUGCAGUGUUGUUGCUGCCAUCGCUUGGAUUGAUCUGUUGUAUCAGGUAUCUAAUUCCACUACAUGUUCAGGUGCAAGCUGGCACUCCUUCUCCCCUAAUUCUUCAUGUUUUUUUUUUGAUUUAAUACACGUUGAUCUGGUGUAUAAGGCGAAACAAGCUAUCCUCAUUUCCGUGUAA